rnacentral:rRNA from 1 species
UAGGGAAUCUUCCGCAAUGGACGCAAGUCUGACGGAGCAACGCCGCGUGAGUGAAGAAGGAUUUCGGUUCGUAAAACUCUGUUGUUAGAGAAGAACAGCGCAUAGAGUAACUGUUAUGCGUGUGACGGUAUCUAACCAGAAAGCCACGGCUAACUACGUGCCAGCAGCCGCGGUAAUACGUAGGUGUCAAGCGUUGUUCGGAUUUAUUGGGCGUAAAGCGAGCGCAGGCGGUCAAUUAAGUCUGAUGUGAAAGCCCCCGGCUCAACCGGGGAGGGUCAUUGGAAACUGGUUGACUUGAGUGCAGAAGAGGAGAGUGGAAUUCCAUGUGUAGCGGUGAAAUGCGUAGAUAUAUGGAGGAACACCAGUGGCGAAGGCGACUCUCUGGUCUGUAACUGACGCUGAGGCUCGAAAGCGUGGGUAGCAAACAGG